UACCUCAGCUGGGAGAGCGCCACACUCACAUUGUGGAGGCCACUGGUUCGAGUCCAGU
rnacentral:tRNA from 1 species